rnacentral:rRNA from 1 species
GACGAACGCUGGCGGCGUGCUUAACACAUGCAAGUCGAACGGUAAGGCCCUUUCGGGGGUACACGAGUGGCGAACGGGUGAGUAACACGUGGGUGAUCUGCCCUGCACUUUGGGAUAAGCCUGGGAAACUGGGUCUAAUACCGGAUAGGACUACGCGAUGCAUGUCGUGUGGUGGAAAGCUUUUGCGGUGUGGGAUGGGCCCGCGGCCUAUCAGCUUGUUGGUGGGGUGAUGGCCUACCAAGGCGACGACGGGUAGCCGGCCUGAGAGGGUGUCCGGCCACACUGGGACUGAGAUACGGCCCAGACUCCUACGGGAGGCAGCAGUGGGAAUAUUGCACAAUGGGCGCAAGCCUGAUGCAGCGACGCCGCGUGGGGGAUGACGGCCUUCGGGUUGUAAACCCCUUUCAGCACAGACGAAGCGUAAGUGACGGUAUGUGCAGAAGAAGCACCGGCCAACUACGU